rnacentral:rRNA from 1 species
AUUGAACGCUGGCGGCAUGCUUUACACAUGCAAGUCGAACGGCAGCGGGGGCUUCGGCCUGCCGGCGAGUGGCGAACGGGUGAGUAAUGCAUCGGAACGUGCCCAUGUCGUGGGGGAUAACGUAGCGAAAGCUACGCUAAUACCGCAUACGCCCUGAGGGGGAAAGCGGGGGAUUCUUCGGAACCUCGCGCGAUUGGAGCGGCCGAUGUCGGAUUAGCUAGUAGGUGAGGUAAAGGCUCACCUAGGCGACGAUCCGUAGCGGGUCUGAGAGGAUGAUCCGCCACACUGGGACUGAGACACGGCCCAGACUCCUACGGGAGGCAGCAGUGGGGAAUUUUGGACAAUGGGCGCAAGCCUGAUCCAGCCAUGCCGCGUGAGUGAAGAAGGCCU